rnacentral:lncRNA from 1 species
GAAAGCCAGGCCGGCUAAGAACAUCCAAACGUAUUGACUCAAAGCAUCUAUUUCUCAUUUUCCCCCUUUGAACCCACCACACAUAAAAGCCCUGAUUGACAAGGAUGAGCAGAAAGCGCACCCCUCCUGAUCUGCAUCCAUUACAAGAGUUCAGUCUGGUGUGAGCAUUCAUGCCUACAGCACUGCCCAGCGGCUUCCUGCUCUGCACCAGGCGCCUGCCCCCUGCUCACACUCCGGCACCUUCAUCGGUUCUCUGCCUGCAUAUCAAGCAUGAGGAGCUGGCUUCAAUGGCUCCAGAGAAUAAACUCAGGUUUAAUCAACUUGAUACCUGUUUUUAUUAUGGCAACCUGUAACCUAGAUGUGUCUAUAAAG